GAUGCAGUAGUGAAGACUGCGGUCUGAACCUGACGACAUUGGAUUGAACCAGUCCAGACCCUGCCUGAUCCGAACUGACUGAAGACCCAAGAAGAAUAUCAGUUAGGUGACUGCUGACUGAUGCAGUAGUGAUGACUCCUGUCUGAACCUGACGACAUUGGACUGAACGGACUUGAACCAGACCAGGUGAUCUAAAGACGCAAGUACAAUAUCAGUUCAUCAUCAUCGGUCGGCUGCAGCGCAGGCGACUGCAAGAUCCCUCCACUGCGGUAUAGUUAGGUGGCUGCUAACUGAUCCAGUAGUGACCUGUGUGAACCUGACCCGGCCGAAUUGGACCAGACUAGCUGCUUUGAAGACCAAAGAGCGAGAUUGCAGCGUCCAUAGGUGCGUCUUGAUGGCCAGCUGUCCUCACGGGAAGAAACCUGUAAUGACGGGCAAGUUCUGUCCAGAGCAGACAAGAUGAGGGCUCAACAAGCUGACUGAUGUGAAGACGGUGAAUUUUAGAUUUU